UACGAAGGGGGCUAGCGUUGCUCGGAAUCAUUGGGCGUAAAGAGCGUGUAGGCGGCCACUUAAGUCCUGCGUGAAAUCUUGCGGCUCAACCGCAAGCGGUCGUGGGAAACUGGGUGACUAGAGUGCGGGAGAGGAGAGUGGAAUUCCUGGUGUAGCGGUGGAAUGCGCAGAUAUCAGGAAGAACACCGGUGGCGAAGGCGGAUCUCUGGGCAAUAACUGACGUGAGGAGCGAAAGCAUGGGGAGCGAACAGGA
rnacentral:rRNA from 1 species